CACAUGACUCUCGGCAACGGAAAUCUCGGCUCUUGCAUCGAUAAAGAACGUAGCAAAAUGCGAUACCUGGUGUGAAUUGCAGAAUCCCGUGAACCAUCACGUUUUUGAACGCAAGUUGCGCCUAAGGCCUUUUGGCCAAGGGCACGUCUGCCUGGGCGUCACGC
rnacentral:rRNA from 1 species